rnacentral:rRNA from 1 species
AAGUGUCGGGUAAAACUGGUACUGAAGUUAACACAUUAAGUACUCCGCCUGAGUAGUACGUACGCAAGUAUGAAACUUAAAGGAAUUGACGGGACUCCGCACAAGCGGUGGAUCAUGUUGUUUAAUUAGAAGAUACACGAAAAACCUUACCAGGUCUUGACAUUUUCUUGGGAAGUUAUAGAAAUAUAAUGGAGGUUAUCAGGAAAACAGGUGGUGCAUGGUUGUCGUCAGCUCGUGUCGUGAGAUGUUAGGUUAAGUCUUAAAACGAGCGCAACCCCNUUCGUUAAUUGCCAGCACGUAAUGAUGGGGACUUUAACGAGACUGCCAAUGAAAAAUUGGAGGAAGGUGGGGAUUACGUCAAAUCAUCAUGCCCCCUAUGAUCUGGGCUACAAACGUGAUACAAUGGUUGAUACAAAGAGUAGCNGAAACGCGAGUUCUUAGCCAAUCUCAAAAAAUCAAUCUCAGUUCGGAUUGAAGUCUGCAACUCGACUUCAUGAAGUUGGAAUCGCUAGUA